GACGAACGCUGGCGGCGUGCCUAAUACAUGCAAGUCGAACGGUCUUUUCUAUGGAAGCUUGCUUCCACUGAGAAGAUAGUGGCGAACGGGUGAGUAACACGUGGGUAACCCGCCCAUAAGAGGGGGAUAACAUCCGGAAACGGGUGCUAAUACCGCAUAGUUUUCUUGAUUGCAUGAUCGAGAAAGGAAAGACGGCCUUUGUGCUGUCGCUUAUGGAUGGACCCGCGGCGUAUUAGUUAGUUGGUGAGGUAACGGCUCACCAAGACGAUGAUACGUAGCCGACCUGAGAGGGUGAUCGGCCACAUUGGGACUGAGACACGGCCCAAACUCCUACGGGAGACAGCAGUAGGGAAUCUUCCGCAAUGGACGAAAGUCUGACGGAGCAACGCCGCGUGAGUGAAGAAGGUUUUCGGAUCGUAAAACUCUGUUGUCAGAGAAGAACAAGUUGGAGAGUAACUGCUCCAGCCUUGACGGUAUCUGACCAGAAAGCCACGGCUAACUACGUGCCAGCCGCCGCCGUAACAC
rnacentral:rRNA from 1 species